rnacentral:rRNA from 1 species
GAUGAACGCUGGCGGCGUGCCUCAAACAUGCAAGUCGAGCGGGGCUAUGUAAUAUCGCAAGGUAGAACAUAGCCUAGCGGCGAACGGGUGAGUAACACGUGGGUAACCUGCCUGGAAGACAGGGGAUAACGAUUCGAAAGGGUCGCUAAUACCUGAUAAUAUCCUUUCAUCGCAUGGUGAUAGGAAGAAAGGGGAAACCCGCUUUCAGAUGGGCCCGCGUCCCAUCAGCUAGUUGGUAAGGUAAAGGCUUACCAAGGCGACGACGGGUAGCCGGUCUGAGAGGAUGUACGGCCACACUGGGACUGAGAUACGGCCCAGACUCCUACGGGAGGCAGCAGUUGGGAAUCUUAGGCAAUGGACGAAAGUCUGACCUAGCGACGCCGCGUGAGGGAAGAAGGCCUUCGGGUUGUAAACCUCUGUCAGUGGGGAAGAAGGAAGUGGACGUACCCGAAGAGGAACGCCCCUGCUAACUACGUGCCAGCACGCCGACGGUAAUAGUCACGUCG